UACGAAGGGGGCUAGCGUUGUUCGGAUUUACUGGGCGUAAAGCGCACGUAGGCGGAUUGUUAAGUCAGGGGUGAAAUCCUGGAGCUCAACUCCAGAACUGCCUUUGAUACUGGCAAUCUCGAGUCCGGAAGAGGUGAGUGGAACUCCUAGUGUAGAGGUGGAAUUCGUAGAUAUUAGGAAGAACACCAGUGGCGAAGGCGGCUCACUGGUCCGGUACUGACGCUGAGGUGCGAAAGCGUGGGGAGCGAACAGG
rnacentral:rRNA from 1 species